GCCUACGUCACAUUCACCUGGAAUGCGCCCAAUCUCAUCAGACACUGGAAGCUGAGCAGGGUUGAGUCUGGAUAGUGCUUGGAUGGAUGAUCACCGCCAAGCACAGCAAGUGGUUGUUA
rnacentral:rRNA from 1 species